rnacentral:rRNA from 1 species
CCUACGGGGGCAGCAGUAAGGAAUAUUGGACAAUGGUCGCAAGACUGAUCCAGCCAUGCCGCGUGCAGGAUGACAGCCCUAUGGGUCGUAAACUGCUUUUGUGCGAGAAAAAACCCCUCUACGUGUAGAGGGCUGAUUGUAUCGUAAGAAUAAGGAUCGGCUAACUCCGUGCCAGCAGCCGCGGUAAUACGGAGGAUCCAAGCGUUAUCCGGAUUCAUUGGGUUUAAAGGGUGCGUAGGCGGAAUGAUAAGUCAGUGGUGAAAGCCUGCAGCUUAACUGCAGAACUGCCAUUGAUACUGUCAAUCUUGAGUACAUUUGAUGUGGGCGGAAUGUGUCAUGUAGCGGUGAAAUGCUUAGAUAUGACACAGAACACCGAUUGCGAAGGCAGCUCACAAAACUGUAACUGACGCUGAGGCACGAAAGCGUGGGUAUCAAACAGGAUUAGAUACCCUGGUAGUCCACGCUGUAAACUAUGAUUACUCGAUGUUUGCGAUACACUGUAAGCGUCUAAGCGAAAGCGAUAAGUAAUCCACCCUGGGGAGUUACGGCGCGCGAGAGAGAACGUUACGAAGAGAGUUAGUUACGGGCGUGGAGACGUUAGACCGACGGACGACACCGGAACCGGGAAGGUAAGG